GGUUGGUCCGAGUGCAGUUGUGUUUACAACUAAUUGAUCACAACCAGUUACAGAUUCCUUUGUUCCUUCUCCAUUCCCAUUGCUUCACUUGACCAACCUAAA
rnacentral:Y_RNA from 1 species